rnacentral:tRNA from 1 species
CUUUUAAAGUAAUAUUACAUUUAAUUUCGACUUAAAAUCUGAUUGUCUUUAGAAUAAUCUAAAAGUAU